rnacentral:rRNA from 5 species
AAAUUGAAGAGUUUGAUCAUGGCUCAGAUUGAACGCUGGCGGCAGGCCUAACACAUGCAAGUCGAACGGUAACAGGAAGCAGCUUGCUGCUUUGCUGACGAGUGGCGGACGGGUGAGUAAUGUCUG